CUUUCUCCGCCGGCGACCGGCGCACGGGUGAGUAACACGUAUGCAACCUGCCCCUGUCAGGGGGACAACCCGCCGAAAGGCGGGCUAAACCCGCGUACAUGCCACCGGGGCAUCCCGGAGGCAGGAAAGGCUUCGGCCGGACAGGGAUGGGCAUGCGGCGCAUAGCAGUAGGCGGGGUAACGGCCCACCUAACCGACGAUGCGUAGGGGUUCUGAGAGGAAGGUCCCCCACACUGGUACUGAGACACGGACCAGACUCCUACGGAAGGCAGCAG
rnacentral:rRNA from 1 species